rnacentral:rRNA from 1 species
UACGUAGGGGGCAAGCGUUGUCCGGAUUUAUUGGGCGUAAAGAGCGUGUAGGCGGCCAAGCAGGUCAGCUGUGAAAACUCGAGGCUCAACCUCGAGACGUCGGUUGAAACCGCUUGGCUAGAGUCCGGAAGAGGAGAGUGGAAUUCCCGGUGUAGCGGUGAAAUGCGCAGAUAUCGGGAAGAACACCCGUGGCGAAGGCGGCUCUCUGGGACGGUACUGACGCUGAGGAGCGAAAGCAUGGGUAGCGAACAGG